CACGCCGUAAACGAUGGAUACUAGCUGUUCGGAGCAAUCUGAGUGGCUAAGCGAAAGUGAUAAGUAUCCCACCUGGGGAGUACGCACGCAAGUGUGAAACUCAAAGGAAUUGACGGGGGCCCGCACAAGCGGUGGAGCAUGUGGUUUAAUUCGAUGAUACGCGAGGAACCUUACCAAGGCUUAAAUGUAGAUUGACCGGUUUGGAAACAGAUCUUUCGCAAGACAAUUUACAAGGUGC
rnacentral:rRNA from 1 species